AGCUAGUGUUUUGGCGUUUAGGAUGUUUAGUUGGUCAGGUCUGAGAAGAAGCAGCCAGAAUAUUUUUUAAGCGGGUUUAACACUAGCACCU
rnacentral:SRP_RNA from 1 species